UGAACUUGCAAAAUAAAAUUGUUAAGUUAAAACUUAUGAUAGAAAAAUUCACUCUAAAUUUAAAUAAACUUCAAAUGAUACUUGAUAAUCAAAAAAUUGUUUAUGAUAAAGUCGGUCUUGGCUAUAACCCUUUAAAAAAAUAAAAAUUUCUGAAAAAUAUCUUUGUAAACUCAUCAAGUAACAAGUUUUUAAAUAUUACUUGCUUUAAAUAUGGUAAAGUAGGACACAAAUUCUAUACAUAUUUCUCUAGCAAAUCUGAAAAUUUUAAUGUGA
rnacentral:lncRNA from 1 species